CGAGCCGGGCGGACGGCCGCGUGGAGUCCCUUAGGGGGCUUCCCGAGGAACGUCCGGGCUCCACAGGGCAGGGUGAUGGCUAACGGCCACCCGGGGUGACCCGCGGGACAGUGCCACAGAAAACAAACCGCCCGGCGCUUCGGCACCGGGUAAGGGUGAAACGGUGGUGUAAGAGACCACCAGUGCCCAGGGCGACCUGGGCAGCUAGGUAAACCCCACCCGGAGCAAGGUCAAAAGGAGCGCCGUGAAAAGCGCUCUGCGCGGACGUUCGAGGGCUGCCCGCCCGAGUCCGCGGGUAGACCGCACGAGACCGGCGGCAACGCCGGUCCUAGAUGGAUGGCCGUCUCCCCGGACCGCCGCAAGGCACCCGGGCGACAGAACCCGGCGUACAGCCCGACUCGUCUG
rnacentral:RNase_P_RNA from 1 species